GUCCUUAGUUACCACGCACGUUAUGGUCGGGCACUCUAAGGAGGACUGCCGGUGACAAACCGGAAGGAAGGUGGGGAGUGACGUCAAGUCAUCAUGGCCCUUACGGCCUGGGCUACACACGUGCUACAAUGGUCGGUACAAAGGGUUGCCAAGCCGCGAGGUGGAGCUAAUACCCAUAAAACCGAUCGUAGUCCGGAUCGCAGUCUGCAACUCGACUGCGUGAAGUCGGAAUCGCUAGUAAUCGUGAAUCAGAAUGUCACGGUGAAUACGUUCCCGGGCCUU
rnacentral:rRNA from 1 species